GUGCACCAGGCGAGAAAACUUCACACUGUGCGAAAGCACGAUGAGGGAAUCCCAAGUGCUUGCACGUAAGUGUAAGCUGUUUCUCUGUCUAAAACGCAGAGAGAGUAAGGGCUGGGUAAGACGGGUGCCAGCCGCCGCGGUAAUACCUGCAGCUCAAGUGGUGACCGUUAUUAUUGGGCCUAAAACGUCCGUAGCCGGUUUAAUAAAUGCCUGGGUAAAUUGUGUAGCUUAACUAUACGAAUUCCGGGUAGACUGUUAAACUUGAGACCGGGAGAAGUUAGAGGUACUCCUGGGGUAGAGGUGAAAUUCUGUAAUCCUAGGGGGACCACCAGUGGCGAAGGCGUCUAACUAGAACGGGUCUGACGGUGAGGGACGAAGCCCUGGGGCGCAAACGGGAUUAGAUACCCGUGUAGU
rnacentral:rRNA from 1 species